UCAUACGUAGGUGGCAAGCGUUGUCCGGAUUUAUUGGGCGUAAAGCGAGCGCAGGCGGAAGAAUAAGUCUGAUGUGAAAGCCCUCGGCUUAACCGAGGAACUGCAUCGGAAACUGUUUUUCUUGAGUGCAGAAGAGGAGAGUGGAACUCCAUGUGUAGCGGUGGAAUGCGUAGAUAUAUGGAAGAACACCAGUGGCGAAGGCGGCUCUCUGGUCUGCAACUGACGCUGAGGCUCGAAAGCAUGGGUAGCGAACAGGAUUAGAUACCCUGGUAGUCCAUGCCGUAAACGAUGAGUGCUAAGUGUUGGGAGGUUUCCGCCUCUCAGUGCUGCAGCUAACGCAUUAAGCACUCCGCCUGGGGAGUACGACCGCAAGGUUGAAACUCAAAGGAAUUGACGGGGGCCCGCACAAGCGGUGGAGCAUGUGGUUUAAUUCGAAGCAACGCGAAGAACCUUACCAGGUCUUGACAUCUAGUGCAAUCCGUAGAGAUACGGAGUUCCCUUCGGGGACACUAAGACAGGUGGUGCAUGGCUGUCGUCAGCUCGUGUCGUGAGAUGUUGGGUUAAGUCCCGCAACGAGCGCAACCCUUGUCAUUAGUUGCCAGCAUUAAGUUGGGCACUCUAAUGAGACUGCCGGUGACAAACCGGAGGAAGGUGGGGAUGACGUCAAGUCAUCAUGCCCCUUAUGACCUGGGCUACACACGUGCUACAAUGGACAGUACAACGAGGAGCAAGCCUGCGAAGGCAAGCGAAUCUCUUAAAGCUGUUCUCAGUUCGGACUGCAGUCUGCAACUCGACUGCACGAAGCUGGAAUCGCUAGUAAUCGCGGAUCAGCACGCCGCGGUGAAUACGUUCCCGGGCCUUGUACACACCGCCCGUCACACCAUGGGAGUCUGCAAUGCCCAAAGCCGGUGGCCUAUCCUUCGGGAAGGCGCGCUGCGUCGACGCGCCCCGCGGC
rnacentral:rRNA from 1 species